CGAGAAAUCUUUAGCUCGCUAGAGAAAGUAAAGUGGCGCACGGGUGAGUAACGCGUGGGUAAUCUGCCUCCGAAUCGGGGAUAACAUUGCGAAAGCGAUGCUAAUACCGGAUAAAAUCUGGUUGGCUUCGGUGAACCGGAUCAAAGGUGGUCUCUUUAUAAAAGCUACCGUUUGGAGAUGAGCUCGCGUACCAUUAGCUAGUUGGUGAGGUAAAGGCUCACCAAGGCGACGAUGGUUAGCUGGUCUGAGAGGAUGAUCAGCCACACCGGAACUGGAACACGGUCCGGACUCCUACGGGAGGCAGCAGUGAGGAAUUUUGCGCAAUGGGGGAAACCCUGACGCAGCAACGCCGCGUGAGUGAUGAAGGCUUUCGGGUCGUAAAGCUCUGUCAGGUGGGAAGAACCCACCAAGUGUUAAGACCACUUGGUGCUGACGGUACCACCGAAGGAAGCACCGGCUAACUCCGUGCCAGCAGCCGCGGUAAUACGGGGGGUGCGAGCGUUAUUCGGAAUCAUUGGGCGUAAAGGGCGCGCAGGCGGUUUUGUAAGUCAGAUGUGAAAUCCCGGGGCUUAACCCCGGAAGUGCAUAUGAAACUAUGAGACUUGAGUAUGGGAGAGGGAAGCGGAAUUCCUGGUGUAGCGGUGAAAUGCGUAGAUAUCAGGAGGAACACCGGUGGCGAAGGCGGCUUCCUGGACCAAUACUGACGCUGAGGCGCGAAGGCGUGGGGAGCGAACAGGAUUAGAUACCCUGGUAGUCCACGCAGUAAACGUUGAUCACUAGGUGUAGCGGGUAUUGACCCCUGCUGUGCCG
rnacentral:rRNA from 1 species